GCAAGAUCGAGAAAAAUAAUUUGGCUGAAGACGUUCUUCAUAAAGCUACGACUUUGAACAAUCUUGGUAAUGUGUAUUAUGAUACCAACAAAUUAGUCAAAGCCAAAGAGGAUGAUGAAAAAGCGUUGGAAAUUCAACAAAAAUCACUUGGUCCUGAACAUGUUGAUGUAGCUACGACUUUAAACGAUCUUGGCAAUGUGUAUUAUAAUAUCAACAAAUAUGCCAAAGCCAAAGAGUGUUAUGAAAAAG